GGGGAUUUCCGUGGUGGAGCAGAAAUUCUUGCCUGACUCCAGGGCCUCCUAAACCACCCAACAAAGGUUUUGACCUCUUUGUGUCUAGAGCUGGAUAGAGUGAGUUCCUCCUGAGUACCUCGAAUAGUCGUGGUCUCUGGAGAGCCAGUUAACUUGGGAGAUCUUGAAGCAUAGUGGCUAUGAAUCCCAGAAGUGGUGGCACACACCUUUAAUCUGGGCUACACCUUCUGCUGGAGACAUACAUAAGGACAAUGGAAGAAGGAAGAUUCACUCUCUUCUUCACCUGCUUGCCUUGUGGGACUGAGCAACUGCUAGAUCCUUGGACUUCCAUUCACAGCUGCUGCUGACCAUUGUUGGGAGUUGGACUACUGUAAGUCAUCAACAAAUCCUUACUAUAUAGAGACUACCCAUGAGUUCUGUGCCUCUAGAGACCACUGACUAAUAGAUUCCAAACUGUAGUUAGAAUUAGGACUUUUAAAAAUCCCCUACUACAGUUGAAGAGCCAGGGCUUGGAAUCGGAGUUGCAAAACAUGGCCUCACAGCCGGGCAUGGUGGUGCACGCCUUUAAUCCCAGCACUCGGGAGGCAGAGGCAGGUGGAUCUCUGAGUUCGAGGGCAGCCUGGUCUACAAAGUGAGUUCCAGGACAGCCAGGGCUAUACAAAGAAACCCUGUCUCGAAAAACCAAAAAAACAAAAAAACAAAAAACAAAACAAAAAAAAAACAUGGCCUCACCUAAUAAGCCUCAAGACAGUAAACCAAUGAAAUGAGAGGGCUUUAGACACUGUAACAGUUAAAUCUACCCUGUAAGCUUAGAAAUUGCAGGUGUCCUAGGCAGUGGUGGCACAUGUCAUUAAUCCCAGCACUGGGGAGGCAGAGGCGGGCAGAUUUCUGAGUUCGAGGCCAGCCUGGUCUACAGAGUGAGUUCCAGGAUAGGCAGGGCUAUACAAAGAAACCCUGUCUCAAAAAAAAAGAAAAGAAAAGAGAAAAAGAAAAGAAAUUGCAGGUGUUAGGUUAGUGUUUCUCUGUUUCUCAACCUGUCUGAUGCUGCAGCCCUUUAAUACAGUUCUUCAUGUUGUGGUGACCCCCCCCCAGCCAUAAUAUGAUUUUGUUACUGUUAUGAACUGUAACAUAAAUAGUUUUGGAGAUACAGAUUUGCCAAAGGGGUUGUUACAGAUCGAGAACCACUGUGUUAGAGUAAAGGCGAUUUUGGCAGCUAUCAAACUGAGUGGUUGCGAUUUUUAAAAAUGUUUCUAUAGUUCAAUAGCUAUAAAAAUCUUAUUUUUUAUUGAGGUGCCUGUUUGAGUUGCCCAUCACAAGGCAGUGGCCACCUUUUCAGGCAACACUCCUUGCUAAUCUGUUCCCCCACUGUGGCAUUCCCACACACUGUAGACAGUGGUAAGGAGGUUAGAGACUGUUUUUUCAGGCUUGUAAACCUAUCUCCCAGAUAGGCUUUGGCCAGAGUAGCAUAAUCAAUGCCUGUUCAAUGGAUGGGUGAUUGUAAAGAACGGCACCAAGGAAGGCAGGUAGGCAGAGUACUUCUCAACCGUGGUUCACAUGUUGCUGUCCUGCUGGUGAUCUGGGGAGGGUAGAGCCAAUGUUUCCCUGUGGAAGUGUCUCCCCAGUCUAGACCAUGAAUCUACCCUUCCUUCCUGCAGCCAGGACCUUAGAUGAAGCCUGCUCUCCAGCCAGCUGUUCUCAGCAAGCCUAUCACAGUCUGCCCUCAGUCUCUCCCUCCUCUUGUAAUCCUCCUUGUCCUGACCAAGUACCAACUCACCAUUUCCUUUAUCAGGAAGCGACUCCACUCCCAGUGUCUUUUAUCUAUCUGACUGGUUCCCAGAAUCCUUUGCUGACCUCCUCUCCCCUUAACCUGGUUCCCAUGGCUCUUGUCCACCAUGUCCAGAGCACUUUGCAUUUCCAGAGGCUGGGGAUGAGGCUAUUUCUUAGGGAUGCCUAAUACUCCUUUGUCAGUCACAGUAGACCAUGGGCUCAUUUAAACCUGGACUGGGUCACUCACCUCUAUGUGAACAGUGUCUGGCACCCAGUCAUCCCUUACUCCUGUUGAAUGGAUUAAUCUAAACUAGGCUUGCCAGUCUGUAUUCAUGCAUGUAUUUUCUGAAUCAUUCUGUAUGUCUGUCUGAGGGCCUAUGUGCGUGUAGCUCCAUGCUCAUGUAGAGAGCAUACUAACGUGGGGAAAACAGAUGAUAAACAUGGACACCAUCAGGUUACUUAGUUACAUAUUUGAUACUGUGUUGCUGUCAAGGUUUGAAGGUAAGAUGUAUCCCACAGCCCAUGCUGUAAAUGCUCAGUCCUCAGCUUGUCUGAAAGGCUGCAGAGCCUUUAGGAAGUGGGGGCUGACUGGAGCAAGCAGUCCAACUGAGGCAGGUCUCUGAACAAUGGAUCUGGUUUUGGUCCCUGCCCAAGCUCUGCCUACUGAUCUGUCAAGGUGUGUGUGAAAAGCACACUCCAUCCCAAGCCUCAGAUGCAUCUGCUAUAAUGCUGCCCUUGCCACACAAACUGAAAUCCUUCUGAGACCACGAACCCAAAUAAUCCGUUCCUCCCUUAUUUCUGCCACAGUGACCAGAAAGUAACUAGCAAGCUGGAAUGGACAACUGCUAGAGUUACUGAUCUAAAAGUGCCCUCUGUGAUGAACCAAGCAACUUUCCUCUGAGCUCUCUAGAGAUGUGUAAAUAUUUUUCCACUUUUCAAUCUUUUUUCUUUAGAAUUAAAAAACAUACAUUUAUCUAUUUAUUUGAGUGGGGAGCAAAUUCCACACAGCACAUAUGGUAGUCAGAAGACAACUUCUGUGAGUUAGUUCCUUCUACUGCAUGGCUUCCAGCAAUCUUCCUUCUACUGCAUGGCUUCCAGCAAUCAGACUCAGGUCAUCUGGCUUAGUUGCCAAUGCCUUAAUCCAAUGAGCCAUCUUGCUGGCCUAUCUCUGUACUUCUUUUGCUAAAAUCUGUCCCUUCUAUUUCGAGCAUGAGUGUUAUCCCACUAAUUCUCACGAAUAAUUUAGCAACAUACAGUUCUCAUACUCUGCAGGGUUUUUAAAGUUCAUUGAUUCAACUAAAAUCUGUUUAUUUACUGUAAGGAAAGUCCUGUUGUCAGAAUGAAGCAUACAGUGGUAAAUUAGUUAAGAUCCCAGAGAGAUGGUUCUUGGAGAGGACCAGAGUUCAGUCCCAGUACCCACUUCAGGCAGCUCACAGCCACUUGUAACUCCAGCUCCACGGUGUCUGGUGCCCUUUUCUGGCCUCUUCUGUACCUGCACACAAAGUGUGUACACUGACAAACACAAAAAUGAAAAGUAUCUAUAUUUUUAAAAGAUCCUUGCUAUCAUGAAAGUUCUAUUUUAAGGAGAGACAAAGAAUAUCUAGUCCAUGUUCUCAGUGUACCUCCUAGACUGAGAAAAUGCAAAGAAGCCUUCAAAUCCUUAGGUAUGUUUCUUCUAACCUACCCCAGGAGGGCUGGAAGACUUAUAAAAAUAUCAAUUUACUUUGUAUAACCUGGAAGUUUCACUAAAAGGCAGUGAGCAUUGUUUGAAAUCAUUGCAGAAUAAAACAAAAACAAACAAACAAGCCGAUCUAAACCGGGCGUGGUGGGACACGCCUUUAAUCCCAGCACUUGAGAGGCAGAGGCAGGCAGAUUUCUGAGUUCGAGGCCAGCCUGGUCUACAAAGUGAGUUCCAAGACAGCCAGGGCUAUACAGGGAAACCCUGUCUCAAAAAAACAAAAACAAAACAAACAAACAAAAAACCAAUACAAAAAAAAACAAACCCAAUCUACCAAUUUUCAAAGUCUUGGGUCAAAACAAGUGAAAGACAAAGUCAAGAUAAGAACAGAUCACAAAGGCUUAAGAGAAAAGAAUAAGAGAAUUAGAAAGUUCUUGUGCUGUUGGGAGAAUUACAGAAAGCUAUGCAUAUUCUCAGAGCAAGACGUGUGUGCAGAAAAGACAUAGGAAGAUACUUGGCUGUUAGGCAGGAUUGUUCCUGGUUUAGUCCAACCUAACUGUCAGAGUGCUUCCACAUGCUCAAAGUCAGAAAUAUUUUUGGCCUUUUAUUUUCCCCCUUCAUUUCUUCUUUUUUUAACUUUAAAAUAAAAUUUAUUUUAAAUAUUAUUAUAUUUUAAAAAUUGCCAAAAACGUCCCCUUUCUGUUUUUUUCUCCCCUUGUUUUUUUCUCACAAGAAAGCUGGUAGAUCUGAUAAUAAACUGGGCGAAGUUGCAACUUACCACAUCAUCAAACAAAAAAAAGACUUGUUUUUAUACAUCAGCAAUGGCCAAUUCAAAGAGGAAAAUAAUUCCAGGGGCUGGAGAGAUGACUUACCAAUCAGAAUCCUGUACUGCUCCUGAAGAAGAUCCAAGUUUAGUUACCAGCACCCAUACUGAGCAGGCACCAGACUACACACACACACACACACACACACACACACACACACACACACA